rnacentral:rRNA from 1 species
AGAGCGAACGCUGGCGGCAGGCCUAACACAUGCAAGUCGAGCGCCCCGCAAGGGGAGCGGCAGACGGGAGAGUAACACGUGGGAACGUACCCUUUGGUUCGGAACAACACAGGGAAACUUGUGCUAAUACCGGAUAAGCCCUUACGGGGAAAGAUUUAUUGCCAAAGGAUCGGCCCGCGUCUGAUUAGCUUGUUGGUGAGGUAACGGCUCACCAAGGCUACGAUCAGUAGCUGGUCUGAGAGGAUGAUCAGCCUCACUGGGACUGAGACACGGCCCAGACUCCUACGGGAGGCAGCAGUGGGGAAUAUGGACAAUGGGCGCAAGCCUGAUCCAGCCAUGCCGCGUGGAUGAUGAAGGCCCUAGGGUUGUAAAGUCCUUUCGACGGGGAAGAUAAUGACGGUACCCGUAGAAGAGCCCCGGCUAACUUCGUGCCAGCAGCCGC